ensembl:lncRNA
GGGGGGCCCUGCCCCAUAGAGGGGGCCCCAUAGAAUGAGCAGGGGGCCCCAUAGGUGAUGGGGGGGCCCUUGGGGUGAGUUGGGGGUCCCUGCCCCAUAGAGGAGGGUCCUGCCCCAUAAAUGGGGGUGGGGGGGACCCAUAAGAAAUGGGGGGCUCCCUCCCCAUAGAGAUGGGGUGGGGAGCCCCAUAGCAUGUGAGGGGGCCCUAGAGGUGAGUUGGGGGUCCCUGCCCCAUAGAGAAGGGUCCCUGUCCCAUAGAGAGGGGUGGGGAGCCCCAUAGAAUACGGGGGGGGGGGGCCAUAGGAGAUAGGAGGACCCAUAGGAGAUGGGGGGCCCUUAGAGGUGACUUGUGGGUCCUGCCCCAUAGAAAGGGGGGGGGGGGGAUGAGGACCCCCAUUAUAAGGGACCCCCCUCCCCCACUAUUGGGCCCACCCAAGUUUAGGCCCCCCCCGCCCCCCCCAGCACCUUACGGCAGCGACAUUCCACCCCCCCCCCCCCCCCGUGCAAGGGGCGUGCGAGGCCUCGUGUCUUCCUAUGGGGGGGUCAAUCCUCGUGCAAGGCCCGAAGCAGCGUCCUCGUGCCCCUCGUGCAAGGCCCCGACCCCCCCCACCCCCCCCACCCCUCGUGCAAGGCCCCAUCCUUAUGCAAUGCACCCCCCCCCCACGUCCUCGUGCAACGCGCGCACCCCCCCCCCCAUAUCCUCGUGCAAGGACACACACACACACACACCCCGCCCAUCACCCCCCCCCCCCCCCAGCCUGGGCCUCGUGCAAAGCACGUCCUCGUGCGAGGCUGCUCCUCCUUGUUGCACGAGGGAGGAGGGACGCGCUUGUGCAAGGGCCGUCCUCGUGCAAGGACCAUCCUUGUGCAAGGACGUUCCUUGUGCAAGGACCUUCUUGUGCAAGGACCUUCUUGUGUAAGGAUCAUCUUUGUGCAAGGCCCAUCCUCGUGCAAGGACCCUCCUUGUGCAAGGACCUUCUUGUGCAAGGACCUUCCUCGUGGAAGGAUCAUCCUUGUGCAAGGCUCAUCCUCGUGCAAGGACCUUCUUGUGCAAGGACCCUCCUCGUGCACAAGGGGGGGGGGUCCUCGUGCAAGGCUCCUCCUCCCCGUUGCACGAGGGUGACGCUUGUGCAAGGCCCGUCCUCGUGCAAGCCCCUCCCCCCUCUCUUCCCCCCCCCCCCGGCCGCGGCCCCUCCCCCCGUUUGCACUUUCGUGGCCGCGUUUGCUACUGACUGGCCCCGCCCCCACCCCUUGGCCCCGCCCCCUCCUCACUUUAGCCCCGCCCCCUUUUGCCUUGGCCCCGCCCCCACCCGCAAAGAGGCAACUAAAGGGGAGAAUGGGGGGAGGGGGGGCACGCACCGCCCGGCCAGCAGGGGGCGCUAGAGCGGGGCCGGGGGGUGGCAGCAAUGGAGAUGGCACCAAUGGGGUGGCCCCAACGAGGUGACCUCAAUGGGGACGUCCAAUGGGGUGGCCCCAAUGGGGUGGCCCCAAUGGGGAUGUCCCUAUGGGGUGUCACCAAUAGACCCCAAUGGGGUGGCCUCAAUGAAGAUGUCACCAAUGGGGGACGUCCCUGUGGGGUGUCCCCAAUGGGGUGACCUCAGAGAGGGACGUCCAAUGGGGUGGUACCAAUGGGGUGACCUCAAUGGAGAUGGCACCAAUGGGGUGGCUUCGUUGGGGGACAUCCCCAUAGGGUGGUCUCAAUGGGGUGCCUCCAUGGCGAGGGGUCCCCCCAAGGGGAGUGGGGCGCCCCAUGGCGGUGUCCCCGCGGUGGCGGUGGGUGGUGGCGGUGACAAAUGUCCACUAUUUAUCUGCAUCAAUAAACACCUUAGAGC